GACGAACCGUCCAAACGUUAUUCGGAAUUACUGGGCUUAAAGGGUGCGUAGGCGGCGCGGAAAGUUGGGUGUGAAAUCCCUCGGCUCAACCGAGGAACUGCGCUCAAUACUACCGUGCUCGAGGGAGAUAGAGGUGAGCGGAACUUAGGGUGGAGCGGUGAAAUGCGUUGAUAUCCUAAGGAACACCGGUGGCGAAAGCGGCUCACUGGAUCUCUUCUGACGCUGAGGCACGAAAGCUAGGGUAGCGAACGGG
rnacentral:rRNA from 1 species